rnacentral:rRNA from 1 species
UACGUAGGUGGCAAGCGUUGUCCGGAAUUACUGGGCGUAAAGGGAGCGUAGGCGGUUUAUUAAGUGAGAUGUGAAAUACCCGGGCUUAACUUGGGAAUUGCAUUUCAAACUGGUUGACUAGAGUGCAGGAGAGGAAAGUGGAAUUCCCAGUGUAGCGGUGAAAUGCGUAGAGAUUGGGAGGAACACCAGUGGCGAAGGCGACUUUCUGGACUGUAACUGACGCUGAUGCUCGAGAGCGUGGGGAGCAAACAGG